ensembl:lncRNA
UUUUAUUUAUAUAUGUUUAUAUGUAAAGUUUGUACGUGCUUCGGAGUUUGUACUUGUUUUGGAGUUUGUACGUGCUUUGUCUCUAGGGGCCACCAUAAAUAUACAUGUAUUUAUUCCCUCCACAUGAAAUGUAAUAAAUAAAUUAUAAAAUACAAAAACCAACUAUUUACAUUUCAACUUUUAACUAUUUAAAUUUUCAGCUUUUUGCUUUUAAACAAAUUUAAAGUGAAACAACACAAAACACUGCAAACCACAACACAAUAAAAUAUAAAUUAAAAUAUGCAAAACAAAAAGAAGAUGCACAUUCUCUGUCAUAUAAACCUGGGAUGAUUUUUUGCGGAGUGUUUUCCUGCUUGGAAUUGCAUACAUAGGAUUCACUGCAUGAAUAAACUUUCUGAAUCCUUUAUCACCUGCAACUGAAAAUAGUUGUGGACAUUGGCGGGGGUGGCUUACUGGGCUUAAGCCCGGGUUGUUUUUUCAGAAGCCCGAGGUCUUUUGGAGUGUAAUUUUUUUUCAUAGUUAGAUGCCUGAUUGACAAUUGUAUAAAACAAAAACUACACACAAUAUUCGAAGCACAUAGCGCAGACAGUGGGAAUUUACGACUGUGCGUAAAUUCCUCCUAAUUUUGGUAUGAUCCGAGCUCAGGCACUAGCCGACUGAGCACCGCUCUUAUGUGAGCGAGGGGGGAGAAGCUGCUGCCUGCGAGUUUCCUGUAGAAGUGCAGACAGGCAGACAGAGGAGAGCUUAAGUUUGACCAGGUACUAAAGCAAAUCAUCCGCACUGUACAAAUAAUGUAAAUAUGACGGUGUAUCGCAAAAGAUUGAUAUCAAACUGAUCACUUGACCUAUAUUACGAUACUUGCUCUUGGAGUGAAUCAACAAAUCGCGAAAUGAAAAGCCGAACAACAAUGCAGUUUUUUUAGUGAGUCUUAGCUUACAUGUGUUUUUAUUUCAUAUUUUCAGUUGUUACCCUCCACAACUAAACAAAGCACUCCAAAUCGGUUUCAGUUAUGUACUGAUAUACAACAAUGGACAUAAGGAGCUUCUUUCAAAGAAAAAACUCAGCACAAAGAGGGAGAGAGAGGAACAGAGAGGGAGAUGGAGAGGAGAAUGAGGACAGAACAGAGAUGGAACAAGAGCCAGCUAACCUCCACACCACAUGCCUGCUGGACCUGCUAGCCGCUCCCGCCUCGCCAGACUGCUGUUACAAAGUGGCGCCCGAACAGGGACGGGGAGUGAGGAAGAUGGCUGUGACCCGGAUGCUGAGGCGCCUAGCCUGACAAAGUACAUCUUCCCUCACUCUACGCCUCUUGACCUCAACCUUGAAGUGGGAAACUUGGAAGGAGAGGUCGGGAAGCCACGAAUUUGCUUACGGGAUUCACUGGAGC